rnacentral:lncRNA from 1 species
GUGUGUGUGUGUGUGUGUGUGUGUGUGUGUGUGUGUGUGUGUGUGCUCACUGGUCCACACUGCCCUUGUUAAACCUGGCUUCUUUGCAUCUUUCACAGAAUGGACCAAGAAACACAGCCUCCCUUUUUGUGUCUCCCUCUUUCCAGCAGCACGAGGUCCCACCUCUUCCAGGAAGUCUGUUCUUUACACUCCGCUCUCCAGCUCCCUGCAGACCCCGUGCUCCCCCACACCUCCGACGACACCUCCAUGCCUCUGCUAAUGCUGUUCUCCCACCAGGAAUGCUUUUGUCUGUCCUUCUUGGCUGAGACCCCUGGAGUUGCUGUACUCCCAGGACAAGGUGACGGUGCUCCUCCUUGCCUCUCAAAGAAACGUUCACGAU